rnacentral:rRNA from 1 species
ACAACGGAAUAACCCGGCGAAAGUCGGACUAAUACCGUAUAAUAUCCUAUGCAGGCAUCUAACUAGGAUUAAAGGUUUAGCGGUAAGGGGAUGGGGAUGCGUCUGAUUAGGCGGUUGGCGGGGUAACGGCCCACCAAACCGACGAUCAGUAGGGGUUCUGAGAGGAAGGUCCCCCACAUUGGAACUGAGACACGGUCCAAACUCCUACGGAGGCAGCAGGA